AAAAGAACCCCGGGAGGGGAGUGAAAUAGAACCUGAAACCGCAUGCAUACAAACAGUAGGAGCCUCGUCAGAGGUGACUGCGUACCUUUUGCAUAAUGGGUCAGCGACUUACAUUCUGUGGCGAGCUUAACCGAAUAGGGGAGGCGCAGCGAAAGCGAGUUCGAAAUGAGCGUUCAGUCGCAGGGUGUAGACCCGAAACCAGAUGAGCUAUCCAUGGCCAGGUUGAAGGUGUGGUAACACACACUGGAGGACCGAACCGACUAGUGUUGCAAAAUUAGCGGAUGAGCUGUGGAUAGGGGUGAAAGGCCAAACAAAUCUGGAGAUAGCUGGUUCUCCCCGAAAACUAUUGAGGUAGUGCCUCGUGUGUCGCUCCAGGGGGUAGAGCACUGUUUUGGCUAGGGGGACAUGGAGUCUUACCAAACCAAGGCAAACUCCGAAUACCUGGAAGCGUAAGCACGGGAGACAGAGCACCGGGUGCUAACGUCCGGACUCAAAAGGGAAACAACCCAGACCGCCGGCUAAGGUCCCAAAUAACAGCUAAGUGGAAAACGAAGUGGAAAGGCCGUGACAACCAGGAAGUUGGCUUAGAAGCAGCCAUCCUUCAAAGAAAGCGUAAUAGCUCACUGGUCGAGUCCUUCUGCGCGGAAGAUGUAACGGGGCUAAGCUGUUAACCGAAGCCGCGGAUGCGCUGGUUAUCCAGUGCGUGGUAGGGGAGCGUUCUGUAAGUCUGCGAAGGCGGUUCGAGAGGACUGCUGGAGAUAUCAGAAGUGCGAAUGCUGACAUGAGUAACGUUAAAGCAGGUGAAAAGCCUGCUCGCCGUAAGCCCAAGGAUUCCUGCUCUACGUUCAUCGGAGCAGGGUGAGUCGGCUCCUAAGGUCAGGCCGAAAGGCGUAGCCGAUGGGAAUCAGGUUAAUAUUCCUGAACCUGCGUCAGAUGCGAUGGGGGGACGGAGCAUGGAAGAUCAUCCGGGUGUUGGAAGUCCCGGUUGUUUAGCGUAGGAGGUCUGCAGGCAAAUCCGCAGACGCAUCUCCAAGGCAAAGACACGUGCCGCCACGGCGGCGAAGUGAUCGGAAGUGCUUCCAAGAAAAGCCUCUAAGCACCAGUCUGAUGCGGACCGUACCGCAAACCGACACUGGUGGGCGAGCUGAAUAUGCUCAGGCGCUUGAGAGAACUCGGGAGAAGGAACUCGGCAAAUUGACACCGUAACUUCGGAAGAAGGUGUGCCGUAGUACCGUGAGAGGAGAGACACCUUGAGCGGGAAACGGUCUCAGAGAAUAGGUGGCUGCGACUGUUUAUUAAAAACACAGCACUCUGCAAAGUCGAAAGACGACGUAUAGGGUGUGAUGCCUGCCCGGUGCUGGAAGAUUAAUUGAUGGGGUGAGAGCCCUUGAUCGAAGUCCCAGUAAACGGCGGCCGUAACUAUAACGGUCCUAAGGUAGCGAAAUUCCUUGUCGGGUAAGUUCCGACCUGCACGAAUGGCAUAACGAUGGCCACACUGUCUCCUCCCGAGACUCAGUGAAGUUGAAAUGUUUGUGAUGAUGCAAUCUACCCGCGGCUAGACGGGAAGACCCCAUGAACCUUUACUGCAGCUUUGCAUUGAACUGUGAACCGAUUUGUGUAGGAUAGGUGGGAGGCAGAGAAGAGGCCACGCCAGUGGUCUUGGAGCCGACCUUGAAAUACCACCCUGAUUUGUUUGCGGUUCUAACCACGGACAGUGAUCCUGUCUUGGGACCGUGCAUGGUAGGCAGUUUGACUGGGGCGGUCUCCUCCUAAAGGGUAACGGAGGAGUACGAAGGUACGCUAGGUACGGUCGGAAAUCGUGCUGAUAGUGCAAUGGCAGAAGCGUGCUUGACUGCGAGAGCAACAACUCGAGCAGAUGCGAAAGCAGGUCAUAGUGAUCCGGUGGCUCUGAAUGGAAGGGCCAUCGCUCAACGGAUAAAAGGUACUCUGGGG
rnacentral:rRNA from 1 species